CGUAGCGAAAUGCGAUACUUGGUGUGAAUUGCAGAAUCCCGCGAAUCAUCCAGACCGCGCACGCGUCAUCCAAUCCGUCGGUGACGGCACCGUCCGUCGCUCGGCCAAUGCCUCGACCACCUCCCCUCCUCGGAGCGGGUGGGGGCUCGGGGUAAAAGAACCCACGGCGCCGAAGGCGUCAAGGAACACUGUGCCUAACCCGGGGGCAUGUCUAGCUUGCUAGCCGUCCCUCGUGUUGCAAAGCUAUUUAAUCCACACGACUCUCGGCAACGGAUAUCUCGGCUCUCGCAUCGAUGAAGAACGUAGCGAAAUGCGAUACCUGGUGUGAAUUGCAGAAUCCCGCGAACCAUCGAGUCUUUGAACGCAAGUUGCGCCCGAGGCCACUCGGCCGAGGGCGCGCCUGCCUGGGCGUCACGCCAAAACACGCUCCCAACCACCCUCAACGGGAUUCGGGAUGCGGCAUCUGGUCCCUCGUCUCUCAAGGGACGGUGGACCGAAGAUUGGGCUGCCGGCGUACCGCGCCGGACACAGCGCAUGGUGGGCGUCCUCGCUUUAUCAAUGCAGUGCAUCCGGCGCGCAGCUGGCAUUAUGGCCUUUGAACGACCCAACAAACGAAGCGCACGUCGCUUCGACCGCGACCCCAGGUCAGGCGGGACUACCCGCUGAG
rnacentral:rRNA from 1 species